rnacentral:lncRNA from 1 species
GGAGUUACCUGCCUUGGUUCCUGUCUGGUCCUAAGUGCUCUGUGCACAGAAAUUUGAAAAAUACUGUACAAGGAGAUAAACAAAUUAGCACGUUAGGACCAAUUCUUACACAGAUUUAAUAUUUGUGGCAGUUGUGCAUUUCCCCUUUGCAGGAUGAUGAAAACCAGAGGAAUUUUGUGUUAACAAUUAACAAGAUGAAGAGAAUUCUGUGUUAGCUUGACAACAUUUUCUCUCCAUUUUCUCGGAGUUCAGUAUUUAUUUUCUUUCCAAUCCAACAGCUGUUGGAGUGGAGGGGCACACCUUGUCAAUUGCUGAACGACCUCCUUUGUAAAUUGAGUGAGAGUGUGCGAUUUGCCCUGGAGCAUCUUUUCAGGCAUUCUGAAUUCUGCCACUGCCAUGACAGGAGCCUUUGGACUCAAGCUGCCAUGGUCCUUGAAGUCAUCAGCAGGGUGGGACAGGGCACCAGAUGGGCAAGGAGGCUACAGCUCCUGCAGGACCCAGAAGAAAUGUCCAGAUCCAGAGGGUGAGGAAUUCAUCCACCAGCUUCUGUCAGGUUGUGACUGUGCAGUCUGUUUCUUCUGGAAGAGCCCCAAGUGACAGUGUUCAAGUGGAUCAGAUCUGCCCCUACAUAGGAUUGCUAUCAGCCAACGUGAAUGACAGACUAGGACCUCUGCCUGAGAAAUACGUUGAGAUUUAGAUGGUCAACUUUAAGAACUCAACUUUGACAGUACGGUUACAGAGCAGAAACAUUACAUCUGCC